UACGGAGGAUGCAAGCGUUAUCCGGAAUGAUUGGGCGUAAAGCGUCCGCAGGUGGCUAUGUAAGUCUGCUGUUAAAGCGUGAGGCUCAACCUCAUAAGAGCAGUGGAAACUACAUGGCUAGAGUGCGUUCGGGGCAGAGGGAAUUCCUGGUGUAGCGGUGAAAUGCGUAGAUAUCAGGAAGAACACCGGUGGCGAAAGCGCGCUGCUGGACCGUAACUGACACUGAGGGACGAAAGCGAGGGGAGCGAAUGGG
rnacentral:rRNA from 1 species